GAUGAACGCUGGCGGCGUGCCUAAUACAUGCAAGUCGAGCGAACAGACGAGGAGCUUGCUCCUCUGACGUUAGCGGCGGACGGGUGAGUAACACGUGGAUAACCUACCUAUAAGACUGGGAUAACUUCGGGAAACCGGAGCUAAUACCGGAUAAUAUAUUGAACCGCAUGGUUCAAUAGUGAAAGACGGUUUUGCUGUCACUUAUAGAUGGAUCCGCGCCGCAUUAGCUAGUUGGUAAGGUAACGGCUUACCAAGGCGACGAUGCGUAGCCGACCUGAGAGGGUGAUCGGCCACACUGGAACUGAGACACGGUCCAGACUCCUACGGGAGGCAGCAGUAGGGAAUCUUCCGCAAAGGGCGAAAGCCUGACGGAGCAACGCCGCGUGAGUGAUGAAGGUCUUCGGAUCGUAAAACUCUGUUAUUAGGGAAGAACAAAUGUGUAAGUAACUAUGCACGUCUUGACGGUACCUAAUCAGAAAGCCACGGCUAACUACAUG
rnacentral:rRNA from 1 species